rnacentral:rRNA from 1 species
AUUGAACGCUGGCGGCAGGCUUAACACAUGCAAGUCGAGCGAGUGGCGGACGGGUGAGUAAUGUCUGGGAAACUGCCUGAUGGAGGGGGAUAACUACUGGAAACGGUAUCUAAUACCGCAUACCAUCGGAUGUGCCCAGAUGGGAUUAGCUAGUAGGUGGGGUAAAGGCUCACCUAGGCGACGAUCCCUAGCUGGUCUGAGAGGAUGACCAGCCACCCGGGAACUGAGACACGGUCCAGACGCCUACGGGAGGCAGCAGUGGGGAAUAUUGCACAAUGGGCGCAAGCCUGAUGCAGCCAUGCCGCGUGUGUGAAGAAGGCCUUCGGGUUGUAAAGUACUUUCAGCGAGGAGGCGUUACUCGCAGAAGAAGCACCGGCUAACUCCGUGCCAGCCGCCGCGGUAAUAC